CUUCAAACCUUUUCUGUGUAGAAAAUUUUUAUGAAUUUUUCAGAAAUUAGAAAUCUAUUAAUAAGUCAAAAGUUCAGAAGUGAAUGAUUCCCCCCGCCGCCCUUUUCUAUCUAAAUUUAUGAGCAUUACAUAAUGUUGGUAGGAGGUUUGGUGAAAAUCUCAACGUAUUAAUUCAUGUCUGCUCUUAGCUCACAUUUCUCCUGUGACUCCACCUAUCAUUUUGUUAGCUGUUAUCUUUCCCUUUCAAAAGGCCACACAUAGAUUUGUCAAGGGAAAGUACUUUUGAAAUUUAUAUCUAACGCAAAACAAGAAAGUGGAGAAACUCCAUAUUAUUCAGAAUAAGUUAAUAAAGUCAAAAUUUUUUUUCCAUAUUUCUUGUUCUCAAUAACUAUAAUCAAUUUUAAAAUAAUUAUACAAUAUAUAUCAUAUAGAUAUUAGAGACUAACUAUUUCCUGAUCAUCUAUUAUCAUCUGACAUGAUCUAAAUUGUAGAGUAUGAUACUCUUAAUUAAGAAAAUUUAGAUCGAUUUUAUAAAUGUACAUAAAUUGUUACCGUAAAUUAAUUAAUGUAGUUUGAAUCACAAGGUUCAUAACAUAAAAUUUUUAUAUAUUAGUUUGAUAUAUAUAUAUAUAAUAUUUUAUCAUUGUACUAAUCAAUAGAAUUAACCACGCCUUCAUAUUAAGCAGUUCACUAAAUAUAGGAAGACUACAAUUCUUACAUAAUUCAGACUCUCUCUUAUUGUUACUGGCAUGCCGCUACCUCAAUUGAAUCUACAUAGCAAGUACCUUACGUCUUCUUGUCUGCAGCCUUGAUGUAGAAUUCCUUCAAUGCUGCAUUUGAUCUCUUUAUCCCAAAGAGACUAGUCAACAAAGUAGUAUGUUUUCAACAGGUACUGUUCACUGGAAUGUUCAACCCUGAACUGUUCAUGCAUUAUUCAUCCAGCAUUGUCUGUAAAUACAGUCCAUAUACUGUUCAUCUGCACCUAUUUUCAAAUGAUAAACUGUCUUCCAUAUGCAGAACACAACUCUAUUUAUAAGAGUACAUAUUCCUUUAAUAUUGAUUUUGCUUCUAAAAUAGGACUGCUUCUGCUUGUGUCCUAAAUAAUUUCCCUAAAAUAAAAGUAUAAAUCCUAAUUUUAAGAAAAUAACUAAAUUAAGGAGUCUCCCAAUGAAUGCCAAUUUUAAUUUAAGAAUUACAAUUUAAUAAAGACACAAAUAUUAAAUUAUCACGAAACGUCAAUUUAAAUAAAAUUUUAGGUCUUACCACCCUUGAAGACCGUAAUUAAACCCUUCAAUUAUUGCUAAGCCAUAUUGUUUGUGGGAUAGCUUAGUCUGAACCUUGUGUUAUUGCUUUAGCCAAAUUCAUUCUUCUCUGUCUUUUUAAUAUACAUAUAUAUAUAUAUAUAUAUAUAUAUAUAUAUAUAUGGGUCUUUUAGUGGCCAGUUAGACCCCAAGUAAUUUAUUUGUUUCAUUCUUUUUUCUAUGUCAGCAGGCUGCGGCAACAACAAAUAUGCUGCCAAAUCGAUUGAGGCCAAUUCCAGGAAAGCGCUUCCUUGCAUAUAUGUGUGUAAAGUCCAACGAUCACUUGUAGACAUCAUUGACAAUAUUAUCUGAUAAUUAAUUCAACAUCGAAUUCUCUCUUCAAUUUUCUUUCCACUUCUUUCUUUCUCAUAUGUUCAAAAAAUCAAGACAAGUCAGCCAGUCAAGUCAUAUAUGCACAAUACUGAUGUUUCUAGAUCUAGAAAUGUAGCAAGAUUUUAUUUUUUAUUUUUUUGAAGUUAGAAGUAUCUUUGUUAUUGGUACAUUUACAAUAAGAAUGCAAUUGGAAAUUUAAUUUUUAUAAAAAUUUUCGUAAAAAUUCUCAACUAAUGUGUUAUAUAUAUUUAAGUUUACAUUUGAAAAGUUGGAAAUUAAAAAUGUAUUUUGCAAUUUGAGAGGUACCAAAAGGAUUGGUAAUUAGAAUUUUAAAGACAUUGUAUUAUAGCUUUCGUUUCUAAUAAAGGAUCAGACUACGGUGCAACUGUGGUACCGUGCCACAGUUGCAUCCAGCCGUUGGAUCCUCUAAUAAAAUACUGGAGAGAUUCGGGAUAAUUUCGAAUGUGCAAAAGCUUCAUGACUGAAUUAAUAUGAGUGCCCCAAAAAUAAAAAAAAAAUUAAUAUGAGUGUGAGGAAUAUUAAUGAUAGUGUUUGAGUUCUUACAUCAAUCUUAAGGAAGGUUUUCAAUAUUAUUUUCAUUUGUGGAUGUAGCCAAUAUUCUCUCACUUUGCCUGCGAAAUUCGAUCCCUGCGUCUCCAUUUUAUUUUGUCUGUACAAGUUUGAAUCUUGAGGAAAUUAUAAAGCUAGAAAAUUUUAUUUUGUCAUUAGGGUUCAACUUUGGAUCCUGAAGAGAAUAAUGGUUAAAAUUGAUUCGAACUUUGGUUGUGAUAAAAUUUAUAGAACAAUAUUCCUUAAAUUUCGUUCUUUAUUGGUUAAAAAAAAAUUAGCACUUCUGUCCCUAAAAAAUUCCUAAUACUUUAGUUCAUCCACAUCGUUAAAAUGUUAUAAAAACAAAAAGGUAAAUAUGUACUUUUAAUAACAAUUAUGAUAUCGUGUAUCAAAUUUUCUUAUAUCAAUUUGGAGCUUAUAUUUAAAAAUUACAUUCAUUCUUCAAAAGUAUUCUUUUUCUAUUAAAGUUGUAACGAUUUGGACAAAAUAGGAUGCUGAAAUUUCAUGAACAGCGGAUGAAAGUAUCAUUAUCUAACAAAACGAAACCCAAAAAAGAAAAAAAAAUCUUUAACAAUAUUAAAUAAAAAUUAUUUAUAUGCAAAACAAUUUAAGAUGCAUAUUUAAGGGAGAUUGUCAGUUUCUCUUAUACUGAAAUUAAUAUACACCACUUAUUCUUUUAUUAUUUUUUUAAUAGCCAAUUAACCCAUGACAAUAUAGUUUUACAAUAUUACUCUUAUUUUCAAAUAUACUUUUAUUCAUAAUCAUUACAAACUAAAUAAAUC
rnacentral:lncRNA from 1 species